AGUCGAGGGGCAGCGGGGGUGAUGGCUUGCCAUCACCUGCCGGCGACCGGCGCACGGGUGAGUAACACGUAUGCAACCUGCCCGCCACAGGGGGAUAAGCGGAAGAAAUUCCGUCUAAUACCGCGUGACGCGGCAUCGGGGCAUCCCGGUGCCGCCAAAGGGAUUACCGGUGGCGGAUGGGCAUGCGGCGCAUUAGCUAGUCGGCGGGGUAACGGCCCACCGAGGCGACGAUGCGUAGGGGUUCUGAGAGGAAGGUCCCCCACACUGGUACUGAGACACGGACCAGACUCCUACGGGAGGCAGCAGUGAGGAAUAUUGGUCAAUGGGCGCGAGCCUGAACCAGCCAAGUCGCGUGAGGGAUGACGGUCCUACGGAUUGUAAACCUCUUUUGCCGGGGAGCAAGCGUGCGUUCGUGAACGCGCGUCGAGAGUACCCGGAGAAAAAGCAUCGGCUAACUCCGUGCCAGCAGCCGCGGUAAUACGGAGGAUGCGAGCGUUAUCCGGAUUUAUUGGGUUUAAAGGGUGCGUAGGCGGGAUGCCAAGUCAGCGGUAAAAAUGCGGUGCUCAACGCCGUCGAGCCGUUGAAACUGGCGUUCUUGAGUGGGCGAGAAGUAUGCGGAAUGCGUGGUGUAGCGGUGAAAUGCAUAGAUAUCACGCAGAACUCCGAUUGCGAAGGCAGCAUACCGGCGCCCUACUGACGCUGAGGCACGAAAGCGUGGGUAUCGAACAGGAUUAGAUACCCUGGUAGUCCACGCAGUAAACGAUGAAUGCUAACUGUCCGGUGCGAAUGAGCGCUGGGCGGUACAGCGAAAGCGUUAAGCAUUCCACCUGGGGAGUACGCCGGCAACGGUGAAACUCAAAGGAAUUGACGGGGGCCCGCACAAGCGGAGGAACAUGUGGUUUAAUU
rnacentral:rRNA from 1 species